UGGGGAAUAUUGCACAAUGGGCGCAAGCCUGAUGCAGCCAUGCCGCGUGUGUGAAGAAGGCCUUCGGGUUGUAAAGCACUUUCAGCGAGGAGGAAGGUGGUGAGCUUAAUACGCUCAUCAAUUGACGUUACUCGCAGAAGAAGCACCGGCUAACUCCGUGCCAGCAGCCGCGGUAAUACGGAGGGUGCAAGCGUUAAUCGGAAUUACUGGGCGUAAAGCGCACGCAGACGGUUUGUUAAGUCAGAUGUGAAAUCCCCGGGCUCAACCUGUGAACUGCAUUUGAAACUGGCAAGCUAGAGUCUCGUAGAGGGGGGUAGAAUUCCAGGUGUAGCGGUGAAAUGCGUAGAGAUCUGGAGGAAUACCGGUGGCGAAGGCGGCCCCCUGGANGAAGACUGACGCUCAGGUGCGAAAGCGUGGGGGAGCAAAACAGGAUUAGAGUACCCUGGUAGUCCACGCUGUAAACCGAUGUCGAUUUGGAGGUUGUGCCCUUGAGGCGUGGCUUCCGGAGCUAACGCGUUAAAUCGACCGCCUGGGGAGUACGGCCGCAAGGUUAAAACUUAAAUGAAUUGACGGGGUCAUAGCUGUUUCCUG
rnacentral:rRNA from 1 species